rnacentral:lncRNA from 1 species
CUUCUAGGUGCCAGAUGUGGUGCUGGCUCCUGGGGACAUGGGAAUGAACAGGCCAGGUGUGGCCCUGAACCAUCAAAUAGACAACCACAGAAAUAACAAAGAAUGAUGCUGGAGGCAGAGGAAGAUAAGGGUGGAAAGUGGGCGAUAAAUCAGGAGCUGUUGCAACAGUCCCAGCAAAGGAUAAUGAACAAAGACAAAACUGGGCCCUUCUACACAGUAGCUGGAACACAAAGGAAGAUCAGCCAAGCCUCAACAUAAUCUCAUAAAAAUUCUUCAAAUAUCCCAUUGUUAUGGAUUCAUACAUCAGGAAAGCAGAUGCCAAGAACCUGAAUACCUUCUACUGGUAACAUAUAUUUUGGCGAGCCAGCCCGGAGACAAGACCACUAUGGGCAACUUCCCAUCUAUUCUAUCUGGUGUCACUGUGGACAACUUCCUAUCUAUUCCACCCGAUUCACCGCUUGGCUACAUCCUCCACCAUUGGGAUGAAUUUGACCCUGACAACCUAAAGAAAACGUGUAUGAUUUUUUUACUGC